GACGAACGCUGGCGGCGUGCCUAAUACAUGCAAGUAGGACGCAGUUGCGAACGGGUGAGUAACGCGUAGGUAACUGCCUAUUAGAGGGGGAUAACUAUUGGAAACGAUAGCUAAUACCGCAUACUAGUAGAUGGACCUGCGUUGUAUUAGCUAGUAGGUAGGGUAAUGGCCUACCUAGGCGACGAUACAUAGCCGACCUGAGGAGGUGCUCCGCCACACUGGGACUUGGACACGGCCCAGACCCCUACGGGAGGAAGCCGUAGGGAAUCUUCGGCAAUGGGGGGAACCCUGACCGAGCAACGCCGCGUGAUUGAAGCAGGGUUUCGGAUCGGUAAGCUAUGUUGUGAAGGAAGCGGUACUUAACCAGAAAGGGACGGCUAACUACGUGCCAGCAGCCGCGGUAAUUC
rnacentral:rRNA from 1 species